CUACGAACUUAAUUGGAUUGAGCGUUGGUAUGGAAACCUACUAAGUGAUAACUUUCAAAUUCAGAGAAACCUUGGAAUAAAAAAGGGCAAUCCUGUGCCAAAUCCUAUUAUUUUAUUAUUUUACGAAAAUAAACAUGAACAAAGGUUCAGCAAGCGAGAAUAAUAAAAAAAAGGAAAGGAUAGGUGCAGAGACUGAAGAGGAGAGAAU
rnacentral:ribozyme from 1 species